CAUUGACUUAACAUGACUCAAGAAUAAUAAUUGUUCAACUCAGUUCUGAGCGUUAAGAUUUAGUUUUAACAUGCUAAUUUCAUUCUUGGAUUUACAGACUGCCCUACUAAAGCAUCACUCAUGACAAUUAACUGGAUUGUAUGAACAUACCUCAGUAUAGUGUGUUGAAUGUUGCAUACCUUAUGUUAUACACUGGGGUUCAUUAAAGGACCACUAUAGGCACCCAGACCACUUCAGCUUAAUGAAGUGGUCUGGGUGCCAGGUCCAUCUAGGGUUUCAG